UUCGCAAUGCCCGAAAGGGUGAACGAGCGACGCCGCGUGCGGGAUGAAGGCCUUCGGGUUGUAAACCGCUUUUCUUAAGGAAGAACUUAAUGACGGUACUUAAGGAAUAAGAGGUUACUAACUCUGUGCCAGCAGUAGCGGUAAUACAGAGACCUCAAGCGUUAUCCGGAUUUAUUGGGCGUAAAGCGCGGGUAGGCGGGAAUAUUAGUCAGAUGUCAAAUCUUCGAGCUCAACUCGAAAACUGCAUUUGAAACGGUAUUCCUAGUGAGUGUGAGAGACCAGUGGAACUCAUGGUGUAGCAGUGAAAUGCGUUGAUAUCAUGGGGAACACCAAAGGCGAAGGCAUCUGGUUGGCGCACUUCUGACGCUGAGCCGCGAAAGCGUGGGUAGCGAAUGGGAUUAGAUACCCCGGUAGCCCUGGCCGUAAACGAUGGGCACUAAGUAGAGGGGUUUU
rnacentral:rRNA from 1 species